GAGAUCCCUGCCUGCCUGAGGCCUUCCAAAGGAUUGAAACAGGCCUGGCUACAGCCUGGAUUUCCCAAGCAGACCCAGAGGUGCUCCAGCUUCAGCAGUCUGUGAACCUCUUGUGGCUGCUUUGACAGCUGGCUUCCUCCUGCUUGUGCUCCUUGGACCUGUCUUUUUCCAACUUCUCUCAUGAAGAUCAGUUCAAGUGAAGACUAUCGAUACGUUUUUGCAUUAAUGGGCUGACGACUGCUUAACUACCCAGAGAAGCAUUAUGGAGCUGAAGAUUCGUGUCUUAAAUGCACCGCUCCCCUGGAAUGGAGAGCUGCAGA